rnacentral:lncRNA from 1 species
UUGAAACUUCACUUCUCCUUUAGUGUACCUCACUCAUAUUUGGCACAUGUAGAUUCCUUUAAGAUUCUAGGAAAGAUAAUGGAUUAUACUGUUUGAUGUAGAAAGCAUAAUAUUAUUGAAUAUUUCUAUUUAUUUUCCUUAAACUUUUUUGUUCCCGAGUUGCAUUGAGAGAUGAAGUGCCGGCAAGAAUAGUAAAUCCUUCAUCUACAAGGUCCAAUAAAU